rnacentral:rRNA from 1 species
AUUGAACGCUGGCGGCAUGCCUUACACAUGCAAGUCGAACGGCAGCGGGGGAGAAGCUUGCUUUUCCUGCCGGCGAGUGGCGAACGGGUGAGUAAUACAUCGGAACGUGCCCUGUAGUGGGGGAUAACUAGUCGAAAGAUUAGCUAAUACCGCAUACGACCUGAGGGUGAAAGUGGGGGACCGCAAGGCCUCAUGCUAUAGGAGCGGCCGAUGUCUGAUUAGCUAGUUGGUGGGGUAAAGGCCUACCAAGGCGACGAUCAGUAGCUGGUCUGAGAGGACGAUCAGCCACACUGGGACUGAGACACGGCCCAGACUCCUACGGGAGUCAGCAGUGGGGAAUUUUGGACAAUGGGCGCAAGCCUGAUCCAGCCAUGCCGCGUGCGGGAAGAAGGCCUUCGGGUUGUAAACCGCUUUUGUCAGGGAAGAAAAGCCUUGGGUUAAUACCCUGGGGUGAUGACGGUACCUGAAGAAUAAGCACCGGCUAACUACGUGCCAGCCGCCGCGGUAA